ACAUGCUGAAAUGUAGGAAAAAAAGUUUGUAAGAUGAAAUAUGAGAAUAAGUGGCUCAGGACUGGGGCAGAGUUUGAAAUAACCAAAACUUGACAGGAAACGGUUAGGAUUUAAGUGUGCUUUUUCCACUUGUAGUAGUUACGCUGCCUGCUUUAGAUAAAUGAAUUAGUACUUAUCUUUCAGCAGCAGUUGAGGAACUUAUUUUAAAAGCCUACUCCUUAUUUAAAAAAGCUUCACCAGAAGUAGCUCAAAAGAAGAAAGAUUAAUAUUCAUCUAACGAAGAAAACUGCUUGUGGUAACUGAGAUAGGAUUAAGAGGGCACAAAAGAGACGAUGUAUCUUGAAGAUGAUGCAUCUUGAAGAAGGGACAGCUCUUCAGAGCUUCCCAGUUCCUCAGAAUGUGCAUUACAACUACUUGAUGGCCACAGCUGGAAAAAGCUCACAGGGAGAUUUCCAAAGGACAGGAGCCAUAUUCCAGAUUACAACUUUCCCAGAAUCCUGACCUGUAAGAGAACAAAAAGCCCACCCACCCCUUUUAAAUACAUACAAAAAGGUUUCUCAACCUAAACAUCUGUUCUGAAACGGAGAUAAAAUUGAGGCAUUACCAGAAGCAUCUGAAUACAGAUGCCAUUCAGAUAUAGUUACACCAAGCCAGAAGUGGUUUAUUUUUCUUGAAGCUCUUAAAAGUUAUACAGCCUUGUUCAAAACUCAUACUGUGCACAACUGAUAGCAACUGUAGGGAUGAACUACUUAUAAUAAGAUUGUAUUUUAAAAAAGAUAGAUUCAAAUCUGACAUUGCAAUUAUUGUAGCCAACAUAAAAUUAUUCACUAUUGUGAUCCACAUAAUAUUUUUGCACCUAUUUCUUAAGCUAUUCCAUUUAUAUAAUUGGAUUUUUUUGUCCCAGUAGUUCUAGUGUUUAGCAGGUCAAAAAGCCCCACUUCACAUUCAGUUCCUCUUCAAAGAAGAAAUUUGGCCAGUAUAGCCACAAGUAAUUACUGCAGCUUCUGUCUAUCUCAACGAUGUCCACAAGGAUGAGCACAUCAGAAAACACAACCCUGCCUUCUGCAGUAACAGCAGCACUUGCCAACACAUUUUAAUGACUUACACAAUGAUCUGUUUCUCAGAGAUAAGUGAUGUGUUUUUAAAAGGGUCAAACCCAUUCAAGUGUUGUGAAGGCACAAGAUUAUUAUUAUAGCCCAAAAUUCAAACUUCUGUCAGUAUGCAAACACACCUUGUCCUCCUGUUGCAAACUUGGUCCCAUCUGGAUGAAUGUCCACUGAAAAUAUUGGCUUUCCUGGAAUUAGAGAACAAGCAGCAAACAUGAAUUGUUUUACAGCCAAGAGAAUGCAGUAAUGCCAAAAGAACCGUAACUCUUCUAGAUGGCAAAUAACUUCCUUCUUCUAAACACUACAGUUGUUAAGAUUUACAGCUGACUAUGAGUCGAAAGCAAGCUAAUUACAGAAAUGCCAGCCUAUUAAAAGUUUAUGGGAGUUAUCAAGCCAUAACAAACCAGUGAUAACCAAGGACACUUAAUCCAGCAGGAUAUGCCAAAUGCCUCAAAGCUAAGUAACACCACAAAGCAAAUGCCAACGAGGCAAAACUGAUUUGAGUAAGGAAUUCCUUCCAGGUUUCUACAGUUCGUUAGCUGAUGACCUGAAGCAAGUUUUGUUCUGGUUUCUGGUUUUGUGUUUUUCAGUCCUCCCCAGUCUCAAAACUGCAUCUCUUGGGCACACAAUUACCUCAGAUUCUGUUGCUAUGAAACUCUUCUACCCAAAUACUAGCUUCUAUUUUUAUAGCUUCCACACAGACAGAGGAAGACUAACCAACUCUAGUACUAACUCUUAAAUCCUUCGGUUCUCCACAUGUUACAUCUUUAGAAGAAAACUAGUAAUCUUCCAAAAAUGUAAACUCUACAGCAAAUAACUAAUAUAGCUGGGGAACAGCUCUGGAAACCAGACAACCCUCUCUAACCUAU